rnacentral:rRNA from 1 species
AGGGUUUGAUCCUGGCUCAGAACGUACGCUGGCGGCACGCCUAACACAUGCAAGUCGAACGCAGUAGCAAUACUGAGUGGCGAACGGGUGAGUAUAAUGUAGGUAUCUGCCUUUUGGUUUGGAAUAACACGAGGAAACUUGUGCUAAUACCGGAUAAGCCUUCACAGGGAAAGUUUUAACGCCAAAAGAUGAGCCUGCACUUGAUUAGCUAGUUGGUAAGGUAAUGGCUUACCAAGGCUACGAUCAAUAGCUGUUCUUAGAGGAAGAUCAGCCACAUUGGGACUGAGACACGGCCCAAACUCCUACGGGAGGCAGCAGUGGGGAAUCUUGCACAAUGGGGGAAACCCUGAUGCAGCGAUGCCGCGUGAGUGAAGAAGGCCUUUGGGUUGUAAAGCUCUUUCGUCGAGGAAGAAAAUGACUGUACCCGAAUAAGAAGGUCCGGCUAACUUCGUGCCAGCAGCCGCGGUAAUACGAAGGGACCUAGCGUAGUUCGGAAUUACUGGGCUUAAAGAGCUCGUAGGUGGUUAGAAAAGUUGGUGGUGAAAUCCCAAGGCUUAACCUUGGAACUGCCACCAAAACUUUUUGACUAGAGUAUGAUAGAGGAAAGUGGAAUUUCUAGUGUAGAGGUGAAAUUCGUAGAUAUUAGAAAGAACACCAAUUGCGAAGGCAACUUUCUGGAUCAUUACUGACACUGAGGAGCGAAAGC